ACACAGGCAGUUCUCAGAACAGCACCACUGGCUGGAUCCAAUCACUCUCACGAGAAACGCGGGGAGCAACACACUCCUGCUCCUCCAGGCGGGAGAUGGAAACCCCUUAGCCGCUACUCAGAUGCAGAGGGACAGGGAGGCUGCAAACACAUGUUACUGACUGCAAGGGAAGGAUGCCUGAGCAGGAAGGGGACUUCAGGGACACCACUGUAAAGAAGAAGAUACCGAGGUCCACAGAGGACCCAAACGUGCCCAGAGCUGAACUGCUGCAGAAAACCAGCUCCCACGCCUGGCGCCAGUGCCUCUGAUCUCUGACCCUGCCCCGGGACCACAUCAAGUAUCAGCGGAUGGCAAUCGGUGGUCAGGAGUCCAAGGCCUCCCAGCACUAGUCAAGACGGAGGUGCAGCCCGGAGGUCAGGGUGUCAGCAUGAGCAUGUUGAUCCCUGAGAUCUUCACGAAGAACCCAGACAAACCGGCUCGUUGGGCUCCCAAAGGCUCCUCAACCCCGGCUGAGACUU